AAGAUGGCGGCGCACAAGUCAGGUCCGGCACAUGUUUCCGCGGAAAGGACCCCGCAAUGACGGAUGAUAUCACCUCUUCUUCUCUGUUGAGAGUCUGAGGAUAGAAACUUUUUUCUCACCAUGAAUGUCACCCCAGAGGUCAAGAGUCGUGGGAUGAAGUUUGCUGAGGAGCAGCUGCUAAAGCAUGGAUGGACUCAAGGCAAAGGCCUCGGCCGGAAGGAGAAUGGUAUCACCCAGGCUCUCAGGGUGACACUGAAGCAAGACACUCAUGGGGUGGGACAUGACCCUGCCAAGGAGUUCACAAACCACUGGUGGAAUGAGCUCUUCAACAAGACUGCGGCCAACUUGGUAGUGGAAACUGGGCAGGUAUGAGCUCUUGAUAGAUGGGCACAUGAAACAGAGGGCCUGGGACCUGUGGCGUAGGCAGUCAUGAUAUGUCACCCAUUCACUGGUACUGAUAAUUCUCUACAGGAUGGAGUACAGAUAAGGAGCCUUUCUAAGGAGACCACCCGUUAUAAUCAUCCCAAGCCCAACCUGCUGUAUCAGAAGUUUGUGAAGGUAUUAGAGGCUGUGGGUAACAGAGUCCAUACUUAUUCUCUUUCCUGGUUUCCCUGGGGCCUGAACAGUUGCCUUGUAUGCCUUAUCAAUUCUCA
rnacentral:sRNA from 1 species